UUUUUGACAUUGGGGCCAUCCCUGGUUCCAGUUCUAUUAUGAACGGGUCAGCCCUAUCAAGGGGAAUGCCCUAUCACGCCCGAAACACAUCCUCGAACUCACUGACCAGCAGAAUACCGUCCGGGUUACCACCCCCUACGACCUCCUUAGUGGUGAUUGUGGCCAAAUAAGCCUCACAACCCUUCUCAAUCAUUUGUUCCGCAUGGAUAAUUUAUACCACUAAGCAUCCAGAGGUCAGCUGAAUACCUUGGAACCUGAUUGAGGGUCCACACCCACUCUCAAAC
rnacentral:lncRNA from 1 species